CGUAUGGUGUACAGCUUCGGGUUGUAUAGCGAUACGGCCUAAAUUUAUAAGGU
rnacentral:ncRNA from 1 species